rnacentral:rRNA from 1 species
UACGGGGGGGGCAAGCGUUGUUCGGAAUUACUGGGCGUAAAGGGGACGUAGGUGGCCAACUAAGUCAGACGUGAAAUCCCUCGGCUUAACCGGGGAACUGCGUCUGAUACUGGAUGGCUAGAGGUUGGGAGAGGGAUGCGGAAUUCCAGGUGUAGCGGUGAAAUGCGUAGAUAUCUGGAGGAACACCGGUGGCGAAGGCGGCAUCCUGGACCAAUUCUGACGCUGAGGAGCGAAAGCCAGGGGAGCAAACGGG